GUUCCGGAAGGUUUCUUGGGCAGUGAAGUUUCUUUUUUGUUGUUGACUCCCGGAUUUCUGUCGUGACUAAGGGCGCGGGCUGGGAGUUUUAAAAAAAAUGAAACGGGCACAGGUUUUGGUAGAAGGGAGUGUGAAGGCGCAAAUGAAGCCGCUCUUUGGAAAGAAACCCAUUUAGGGGCGGACGUGUGUUCAGCUGGGCGACUGCCCCAUUUGCAUCCUCUACAGAUUCCCUGUUCCGGAGACCCAGGUGGCCGCUGGGUCAACCACACCGCUUGGCCGAACUCAAGAAGACCUAGAGUUUAGGUUGCCUCGUCUGUCACAGAUUAAGUUUAGAAACAGGACCAUCUCCCUUAUCCAAUCUGGCAGAAUGGACCUUCGUGUUUGGGGAGGCGAUGCGUGGGAAUUUGGAUAUGAGACAGAUCUGGGACCUUGGUACUCCAGCUUCCUACUCCCAACCUAUGGAAAGAAGGGAGAAAAGAAGACCAAAUUUCUUGACCCAAUCCUGAAUUACUAUUCUGACAUCCAGCACAAUGGAGAUUCAAAUAAAGAGAGCAACACAUACCUGGAGCUGAGAAGCUAAAGGAGCAUCCCACACCAAGGAGGUGGGGCAGUGAAUGCGGCCACCAGCGCUGACCUCCCAAGUGGAAAAUACUAUGGCUGCUGCUUCAGGCCAUUCGCCCAGUCUCAGGCAAUAUAUCUCGUGGCCUACCCUAACUGGAUACCUACAGCCUAAGCAAGUUGACACGUGACAAAUUCACUACACAAGUAAUGCCAAGAUUUGAUAAAGUGAGUUGGUACGUUCACAAGUGUUUAUGCUGCUCUGUAUUCUCAUCUGUAUGUGUGAAAUACUUCAUGAUUUAAAAAUAAUUCACGGUGUAAAUCCAUUUACUUCAUUGUAGAAACCCCAAGGAAAAAAAUAUCAGAAUCGACGCGCCUACCAAAAAAGUUGACUUUUUGAAACCAGUGAAAACAUUAUGUAAAUGAAUAGUCUUUCCAGUGAAUAAAUUAACAGACCAGGUGGAAACUAUCCUGGUGAUUCCAAUUUCAUCUGUCUUCUUAAGUGUUUGCAAAGUAAUACCAUACCUUAACAUUAGCAGAAGAGAUAUAAGAUAGGUUUUUGCUUGAAAUUGGAUUCCUGAGUACUCAUUACAUAAAAUUAAACCGCAGUCGUUACACAGAAUUAACUAUGUAGCUUGUAAACCUGAACAAAUAGACAAGUACUGUAUCUCCCAUCUAUAUUGCUUUGCUACACUUCGCUUUUGAGCUUGAAAGAACUACUUUGAAAACCUAUGUAUUUUUAAAAUCCUAUCAAUAUUUCAUAAUGUGCAGGUGCUGAAGCAAAAGAUUAAAUAAUGUUUGAAGUAUUUUAGUAAUUCUUAUUAGUCUCAACAUUUAAGCACAACCACAAAGCUAGCUUUGAGAUCACAUUGCACUGAAUUAUGAACUACUCUACCAAACUAUAAGCCAAAAUUGUAAUAAAAAUAAACUAAAUCAAAGCCACUGUUGCAGUCCUAUUUUAUAAGCAAUUAGGAAAAAUAAAAGGACCUUGGUUUUUCAGCUCUGCAACCUGUGUUGCAAUCUAAGCCUUCAUUUUAAAGUCAAAAUAUAUCAUUCCGGUGCUGAGAACAUGCCGUCUUGAGGUAGGUCAGCAGUCAUCUGCAAAUUAGGUAAAAAUAGA